UCAGGUAUAAAAAGGAAUAAAUAAUUUUUUCCUCCAACAGAUCAACCGUGUUGAUAUAACUUCUCUAAACCAGUUUCUGUCUGAUAUGUCAGC